rnacentral:rRNA from 1 species
CUUGGUGCUUGCACCGAGCGGAGGAGUUGCGAACGGGUGAGUAACGCGUAGGUAACCUGCCUCUUAGCGGGGGAUAACUAUUGGAAACGAUAGCUAAUACCGCAUAAAAGUCGACAUUGCAUGAUGUUGACUUGAAAGGUGCAACUGCAUCACUAAGAGAUGGACCUGCGUUGUAUUAGCUAGUUGGUGAGGUAACGGCUCACCAAGGCGACGAUACAUAGCCGACCUGAGAGGGUGAUCGGCCACACUGGGACUGAGACACGGCCCAGACUCCUACGGGAGGCAGCAGUAGGGAAUCUUCGGCAAUGGACGGAAGUCUGACCGAGCAACGCCGCGUGAGUGAAGAAGGUUUUCGGAUCGUAAAGCUCUGUUGUAAGAGAAGAACGAGUGUGAGAGUGGAAAGUUCACACUGUGACGGUAACUUACCAGAAAGGGACGGCUAACUACGUGCCAGCAGCCGCGGUAAUACGUAGGUCCCGAGCGUUAUCCGGAUUUAUUGGGCGUAAAGCGAGCGCAGGCGGUUAGAUAAGUCUGAAGUUAAAGGCUGUGGCUUAACCAUAGUACGCUUUGGAAACUGUUUAACUUGAGUGCAGAAGGGGAGAGUGGAAUUCCAUGUGUAGCGGUGAAAUGCGUAGAUAUAUGGAGGAACACCGGUGGCGAAAGCGGCUCU